UUGAAAAUGUGUCUGCUGGGCAAUGCUGA
rnacentral:piRNA from 1 species